GCCCUCAACGGCUGCCGCAGUCAGAGCACCACCCCGCGGCGGGGCACGUCUAGCCCGCCCGCAGCUCCCGGCUCCCCCGCAGCGCCGCCAGCGCCGCCGCCGCCGCGGCUCUCGCGAGAAGCGGGCGAGCGAGCGCGCAGGGGGCGGGGGAGGAGGAAGGGCGGGGCUGCCAACGGCGGCGGCCACUUCUGCGGCGCAUCCGGAGGGGCGGCCGCCAUUGUGCUUCGUCGCCGACUUCUCUGCCGGUAGCCCGAGAGCCGAGCCGAGCCCAGCGAGGAAGGCGGCGGCGGUGUGGCUGCGGCGAGCGCGACACUCCCUGCAGCGGAGUGCUCGGUGGAAGAGGGAAACCUUAAGAAUGGAGUCUAAACCUUCCAGGAUUCCAAGAAGAAUUUCUGUUCAACCCUCUGGCUCUUUAAGCACUAGGAUGGUGUCUGGAAACAGAGGAACCAGUUUAAAUGAUUCAUAUCAUUCUAGAGACUCCUCCUUUAGACUGGAUUCUGAAUAUCAGUCUGCAUCAGCAUCAGCGUGUGCAUCACCAUGUCAGCCUGCCUGGUACAGUGAGUCUGAGAUACCUCAGGGAGCGCGGGCACGAGCACAGACCCAGCAGCGGGAUCAUGACUCAAAGAGACCCAAGCUUUCCUGUACAAACUGUGCAUCUACCUCAGCUGGGAGGAACGGUGGGAGUGGGUUAAAUACAGUGUCAGAUUCUUCUUGGAGGCAUAGUCAAGUUCCCAGAUCUUCAUCAAUGGUACUUGGUUCAUUUGGAACAGACUUGAUGAGAGAAAGGAGAGAUUUGGACAGGAGAAGAGAGUCCUCCAUCAGCAAUCUUAUGGAUUAUAAUCACCGAAGUGGUGAUUUCACAACUUCAUCAUAUGUUCAAGAAAGAGUUCCUUCUUCAUAUUCACAGGGAGCAAGACCAAAAGAGAAUGCAGUGAGCACUUUACAGUUGAAUUCAUCAUCCACCAAUCACCAAUUGCCUUCUGACCAUCAGACAGUACCAAGUUCUAGGGACUCCAGUAGAAGUUCUUUCAGAUCACAUUUUUCUCCAAGACAAUCAGAAUCUUUUCGCAACAGUUCACAUCCUGCAUUUUCAUAUUUUUCAAGUAGAAAUGAAACUCCAACUAUAAGCAAUUCAGAAAGGGGUUCAUCUCAGAGACCAUAUCGAGAAUCUUCUGACAAUGAAGGUAGGCGUACAACUAGGAGAUUGCUGUCACGGAUAGCUUCUAGCAUGUCAUCUACUUUUUUCUCACGAAGAUCUAGUCAAGAUUCCUUGAAUACAAGAUCUUUGAGUUCUGAAAAUUAUAUUUCUCCGAGAACCCUGACUUCACAGUCUCGGAAUAAUGGAACCUCCUCGUCCUCUGACGUCAGUGAGGGCAGGGCAGCUGAAGCAUCUCAGGGAUUUAGAUUUCUUAGGCGAAGAUGGGGGUUGUCGUCGCUCAGCCAAAAUCAUAGCUCUGAACCAGAGGCAGAAAAUUUUAACCAAGAAUCAGAAGGUAGAAAUUCAGGACCAUGGUUGUCUUCUUCACUUAGAAAUAGAUGCACACCUUUGUUCUCGAGAAGGAGGCGAGAGGGAAGGGAUGAGUCUUCAAGAAUGUCUACGUCAGAUGUACCACCUAGAUCUCAUAUUUUCAGAAGAGAUUCAAAUGAAGUAGUUCAUCUUGAAGCACAGGGUGACUCCCUUGGGGCUGCUGCCAACCGACCACAAGCAUCUGGAGCGUCAAGCAGUGCUGCUGCAGGUGGCUCCACCCCAGAGUUGCCUCAGGGUGGAAGAAAUCCAGGACUAACAGGGAUUCUUCCUGGCUCCUUGUUCCGGUUUGCAGUCCCACCAGCACUCGGCAGUAAUCUGGCUGACAAUGUCAUGAUUACUGUAGAUAUUAUUCCUUCUGGUUGGAAUUCAACUGAUGGGAAAAAUGAUAAAGCUAAAAGUGCACCUUCAAGAGACCCAGAAAAACUUCAGAAAAUCAAAGAAAGCCUCCUUUUAGAGGACUCUGAUGAUGAAGAAGAAGGGGACUUAUGUAGAAUUUGUCAGAUGGCAGCAGCGUCAUCAUCUAAUUUAUUGAUAGAGCCGUGCAAAUGCACAGGGAGCCUGCAGUACGUCCAUCAAGAGUGUAUGAAAAAGUGGUUACAAGCCAAAAUUAAUUCUGGCUCUUCAUUAGAGGCUGUGACUACCUGUGAACUCUGUAAAGAGAAGUUGCAACUUAACCUGGAGGAUUUUGAUAUUCAUGAACUACAUAGAGCUCAUGCAAAUGAACAAGCUGAGUAUGAGUUUAUCAGCUCUGGUCUCUACCUAGUUGUCUUACUGCACUUGUGUGAACAAAGCUUUUCUGAUAUGAUGGGAAAUACAAUUGAACCAAGCACUCGUGUCCGAUUUAUUAACCUUGCAAGAACUCUUCAGGCACAUAUGGAAGAUCUCGAAAGUAGGUGGAAUUUUCCCUCCCCAGACUUGUUGAAUGUACUUUUGCAAAUUAAACCCACAGCAAAAAAAUCUUUUUAAGUGUACUCUUUUCUACCAAAUUGAGCUUUGGCUUUAGGUUUAAUACUACUUGAAUUAAUUGAUUUGGGUGAUAAAGGUUGAACAUGAGAAUUAAGUUAAAAAUUUUUUUUAUUAUGUUUAAGGUGUGGAAGGAAGUAAUUUUAACCUAAUAUUUUAAAGCACUGAUUUUUAUUAUUUGUGAUUAAAAGGAAAACAAACUUAAUUACUAAACAUAUCUUGUUAAGGCUUUGUAUUUUUAAUAUAUGAAAAAUUUUUACUUUAUUCAGUUUCAGAUCAUGAAAGAUUUUCUGUAGUCUUAAGUUUGGUACCAGGAAAAUAAGGAAGAAAGGUCAGAGCCCCUAAGAGUAGGGUUUUGUUUGUUCUUCUUUUACUCACAGAGUUCUUUGUGCGCCUUUAACACAUAGGCAGCUGGGAUUUCCUAGGGGUCACAUUGUCGAGCUCUUUAAGUGAAGACCCAUAAGGCCACGUCACAGGCAUUUCUGCAGCAUUGUCUGUAGUGCACUGCAGUGCAUCUGUGUGCUUCAUGCCAGACAGGGACAACAUUGGCUUCGGAACAAUUUCUGGGAAAGAUUAAGCCCAUCUGAUCAUAGGAGCAGCAAGUUUCCAUUGAUAUAUCUUAUAGAGUGUUCUGAGUGCGUAGUUUCAUGCUGAUUAUGCGCCUACUGUGUGCAGAGUACUGUGUAAGAGAACCUUUAGAAGAAGGCUGGCGUCCUGUGAGGAUGAUAAAAGAAGGUUGAGUACUCACUGAGCCCUUCACUUCCUUAAGUAUUUUAAGACCUGGCCUUGGGCCUUUUAGAAAUCCUGUUACACCUGUACUGAUUUUAGGUUUUAACAGGAUUUGAAAUAAAUUCAGACAGCACAGGUUUUUUUUUGGGGGGGGGGGUGGUUGUUUGGUUGUUUGGUUUGGUUUGGUUUGGUUGGUUGGAUUUUUUUUUUUUUUUAUCAUCUGUGAAAAUUAAAGAAGCCAGAAGCCAGUUGGAAUUACUAUCACUGUGUUUUUCAUUUUUGCUUUUUCUUUUACUUUAUAACCUUCAUAAAAAUACUUCUUUGGAGCCUGGCAUCAUGGCACACACCUUUAAUCCUAGCACUUGGGAGGCCAGCCUGGUAUACAAAGCAAGUUCCAGGACAGGCAGGGCUAUACAGAAAAAUACUGUCUGGAAAAAACCAAACCAACCAAACAAAACCCAAAACACCUCAUUGGCUAAUACAAAAGUUUAUCUUUUGUUUCUAAAAAUUAUAAUUUCUGUUUUGGUAGAUGUGGUGGUGGUCAUUUGUUUCAUCAUCUUUUCCCUGAGAUUUCUCACUUAAGAAUAUUCUCAUUUAAAAUAGAAUUUCCUAAACAUAGUAUGGUCUUUUCCCUAUAUGUGAGAGAAGAGAAAUAUAGAGGUGAAAUUAUACAAAUUCAGCUAACAGUAAAUGGUAGCAUGCUUCAUGCAUCUCAAAUUAGUAGAGUAUUGCUCUGUUCUGAAAACUAGCUGAAGUGUAUUGUCCACCUAAAAAACAUGACAUUCCCUUCAGUGUGAUCCUGUGAUGUAGAAUUUAACAAAAGGGUUUAUGUCAGUUAUAAUGUUAACAUUUUUUUCCUGCUCUUUGUCUGGGUUGAUCCUGUAUCCUAGAGUAAAGAAGCCAGUUGGAAUUACUAUUCACUGGGGGCGUUUUUGGUUUUUUUACUUCAUAACCUUCAUAAGGUUUGCAUUAAGUUUAUCUGCCCUUGAUAAUAGUAAAAGUAUUAGUUAGAUGUUUAUUUGAAAGAGCGUAGAUUUCCCCUAACAUAUAAAACAGAUGAUAUAACAACCAAUAGUUUCUCGUUACCUUGUCUGUCCCAAACAUUCCAGGAUGCUUUAUCCUUAUCUGUGUCACUAAUGGCCGUUGAAUAACUUGAGGUCAGAAGUGUUAUAAGAAUGAUGUUUCUGAGUUGGCGACAUGGGGGUGAUCUCACCAGCGGGGUUUUUGUUGUUGGCGUUGCUUUGUUUUUUUCUGGAUCCGAUUAUUUUAAGUUAGGCUGUGUCUAUAUAAAGCUUAACUUAUUCAGUAGAGCUUUUUCCGUGGCAUUGUAUAGACAUAGCUUUGAUGUAACUUGCAAGAACAUCCAUAACCUGUUAUUCUAUGUACAUUUUUUUUCAUUCUCAUCGGAUGCAUCAAACAUGCAGCGGUAAUAAGCCAGAUUCUACUCAGCUUCAGAGGAUGAAUUCUGAAGAAGAUGGAGACCAUAAGAGAAUGCUUGAUAUUGCCUAACUUCAUUUAAGAAAAAAAAAAAAAGGAUGAUCUGUGAACAUGUUUAUUAAAACUGGCAAUUAAGUAUGGAUAAUUUCAUGGGGUAAUGCCUAGUAGAUUAAUUGACUAUACAUAAAAUGAAUAUAUAUAUAUACAUGUAUAAAUGUAAAUAUAUAUUCAUUCUCAAGUAUUGCUGAACUGAAAUUCUUGAGCUGGACCCUUUAACACUGGCCAGCGAAUCUCAUGUUUAUAAUAUGUAAUCCAAGCAUUUUUCCUUUUGGUGAGUGGGAAAGCAUUACCCUUGUUUGAAAUAUCUAAACAGUGCUCAUCAACUUUCUUCUUUGUUGCAAUUACUGUAGUCAUAUUUAUGGGAAAAAAAUGUUUGUGUAUUAGUCUCUUGCUAGUGAAAAAAAGUCAGAUAAAAUGUCCUUUUGAAAUAAAAUGCCAAUGGCACCUAAUUAGUUUUUCCUCUUUAAAUGCCUUAAGUUACAGCCACAUUUUGAUAAUCAUUUACUUCCAGUGUUUAAAAUUUUUUUAAAAGAAUGGGAAGUUUGAAGAGCAUUAUUGUAUUAGGUUUCCAAAUUUAAUUUGAAUUCUAAAUCCACUUAGCAAUAAAACCUAAUUUUUAAGGAAAAAAAGUAUGUAAAAGAUGUAGUAAUGAUGGAUAACUUUUGUAUUGAUUUGCAAAAAAUGCAGAUUAUAUUUGAUAGGCCAUGGUAUGUAGGUAUUCCUUUCAGGAAUAUUACAGCUGUAAAUUAUAUCAGAAUUGCCAGUCAAAUGAUACUUGGUUAAAAAUUACUGAAAAUCUCAAGUUAACAGAAUAUUUUUUUAAAACCCACAUUCAAAGUUUAAAACACUGGUUUUCAAUGUGUUUUUAGUAUUGUCACUUCUUUAUAGAGAAAUAUAAUAUAAAUAACCUAUUUGGAUCCUGGUCAUUUUUAGGUGUUCCUUGAUAAUUCUGAGCAUUUAUUUGAUGAUUGUUAAUAUUUUUCACUACCUUUGCAAAACAGAUAAAUUACUUAUUCAACAUUAAUGAGUUUGCACUAUGGUCUUGAGCUGUGUAAACUUGCGUAAUGAUUUCCACUGUCAGCACCCUUAGGAUAUAUAUUACAAUUUCGGGUGGUUUCAGAUUAGUCCAAUGUUGUGGCAACAACUCACUUUCAAAACCUAAAUAGAAACCAUGUACGUUGUCAAAUGUGAAUGGACAGUUUGCCUACAUUUAGUUUGUUGGUGUUAAUGUAAAACCUGGCUUGAAAUAAAGUGAUACUGAUUGAUUUAUUUUA